AAAUAAAAGAACAUGAUGUUGGUUCAGAUUAAAUGCUAUGUAGAGACAUAACACAUGCAAGUUAAAUUAAAUUUAGCGUACAGGUGAGUAAAUAAGGAAAUAAAAAUCCUUAAUCAGAUGUAGGUAAUAGAAGAAAUUCUAGCCAUAGAACUGAAACCGAUAAUGAGAGUUAGAACGGUCACAUUAAUAGAAACCUUUAUAAAAAAAAUAAAGUCCUAUAUUAACUUUUAUAUAAAGCAGCAGUGAGGAAUAUUUGACAAUGGUCUAACGACUGAUCGAGUUAUCUACGAGGAGGAAAUUAAAAAAAAAUAAAAAAAAAUAAAAGAAAAACUAUAAACUCCAAAUAAAUAUUAAUAAUGAUAAUAUUUAAAGAAAGUCCUAACUAAAAUAUGUGCCAGCAGUUGCGGUUAGACAUAGAGGGCAAGCAUUGGUCAAAAUGGCUUAAAGGGUCUGUAGAACGAUUUUAAAAAAUAAAAUUAGAAUAUAAAAAAGGUAAUAAGAACUAAUCUAAGAGAGAUAAAAUGCAUAGAAUAGAUUAUGACUAUAAAGAGAUUACUAAAAAUAUAUUGACGUUGUGAGACGAAGGCUACGGGAAUGACAUGGAUUCGAUACCCAUUUAAUCGUAGCAGUAAACUAUGAGUACAAUAAUUAAAAACAAGUGAAAAUGAAUAGUACUCCGCCUGACUAGUACGCUCGCAAGGGUGAAAUACAAGACAUUAGACGGUUGUAGUCACAAGCAGUGGAACAUGUUAUUUAAUUGGAUAAUCCCCCUUAAACCUUACCAUUAUUUGAAUAUUAAUUAUUACCCGGCUACGCCGGCCAUUCAUAUUUUUGAAUUAUUCGGUUUAACCGAAUAUAAUUUAUACAGGCGUUACAUCGUUGUCGUCAGUUCAUGCCUUGAGGUAUAAUAUUAAGUUAUUAAAUGAACGUAAUCCUUUUUAAUUUAUGUAUUAUCGAAAGGUAAUAGGAAGUAGAGGUAGAAGACUAAUCAUGAUGACCCUUAUAUAAUGGGCAAUAGACGUGUUACAAUAUUAUUUACAAUUAAAUUAAUAUAAAAUAUUAAUUAAAUUAAAAAAUAAGAUUAUGAAAUUUUUCAAUAAAGGAUUAUAGCCUGCAAUUUGGCUAUAUGAAGGAGGAAUUGCUAGUAAUCGUAAACUAGAGUGUUACGGUGAAAUUAUUUGCUACUUCGUACUAACCACUCAUCAACAGCAAGAAAUAUUUAUUAUCAUUUUUUAUGAAACUAUAAAUAGGACUUGCUGUAAGUUGAAAUACGGUUCGGUUAGGGGAACCUGAUCGGGAUUUAUAGAUAUU
rnacentral:rRNA from 1 species